rnacentral:rRNA from 1 species
AAUACGUUCCCGGGCCUUGUACACACCGCCCGUCACACCACGAAAGCCGGUGGAACCAGAAGUCGGUAACCCAACCCGCAAGGGAGGGAGCCGCCCAAGGUUUGGCCGGUGAUUGGGGUG